CCCUUAGAUGUUCUGGGCCGCACGCGUGCUACACGGAGUGGAUCAGCGGGUCAGGUUGCGCGAAAGUGUUUCCUAAUCUUUAAAUCCGCUCGUGAUGGGGAUUGACGGUUGCAAUUUUCCGUCAUGAACGAGGAAUACCUUGUAAGCGCGGGUCAUCAUCCCGCGCUGAAUACGUCCCUGCCCUUUGUACACACCGCCCGUCGCUCCUACCGAUUGAGUGGUCCGGUGAGGCUUUGGGAUCUGAGCGGAAAGAGCGUUUCGCUGUUUCUGCCCGGAAAACUCAGUCGAACCUUAUCAUUUAGAGGAAGGAGAAGUCGUAACA
rnacentral:rRNA from 1 species